AAAGUCGUAACAAGGUUUCCGUAGGUGAACCUGCGGAAGGAUCAUUAAUACUUUAUUCCUGGGGCUGUCUCAUUUCUAUGGGACGCUGCAGGGUGAUUAUUUCCAAAGAGGGGCCGUUCUCUCGGGAGCGGUGUCGCUUGUAUCGGUUUUGCUGAUACAGACGCGACAGAAAAGGCUGAUGAGGAGGUUUUCAUGAGAAACUCUUUUUCGACACACACAGUCCUUGAUCCUCUGGCAAACAAAAGUGAUGGUUGGAAAAAGAAUUUCUUUUUAUUCACCACUAUCUUUACCAUACUAUCCAUUCUAACCUAACAUUACUUAACAAGUAUAACUUUUGACAACGGAUCUCUUGGUUCUC
rnacentral:misc_RNA from 1 species